GGGCCUUGGCACGACGAUAUACAUGCAAGUCGAACGCUUCUUUCCUCCCGAGUGCUUGCACUCAAUUGGAAAGAGGAGUGGCGGACGGGUGAGUAACACGUGGGUAACCUACCCAUCAGAGGGGGAUAACACUUGGAAACAGGUGCUAAUACCGCAUAACAGUUUAUGCCGCAUGGCAUAAGAGUGAAAGGCGCUUUCGGGUGUCGCUGAUGGAUGGACCCGCGGUGCAUUAGCUAGUUGGUGAGGUAACGGCUCACCAAGGCCACGAUGCAUAGCCGACCUGAGAGGGUGAUCGGCCACACUGGGACUGAGACACGGCCCAGACUCCUACGGGAGGCAGCAGUAGGAUCCUGGACAUGACGAGUCUGACCGAGCAACGCCGGCUGGAGGGAAGAAGGUUUCGGAUCGUAAACUCGUGUUAGAGAAGAACAGAACGUUAGUAACUGACGUCCCUGACGGUAUUCUAACCAGAAAGUCAACGGCUACUACGUGCAGCAGCGCGGUAUACGUAGGUGGCAAGCGUUGUCCGGGAUUUAUUGGGCGUAAAGCGAGCGCAGGCGGUUUCUUAAGUCUGAUGUGAAAGCCCCCGGCUCAACCCGGGGAGGGUCAUUGGAAACUGGGAGACUUGAGUGCAGAAGAGGAGAGUGGAAUUUCCAUGUGUAGCGGUGAAAUGCGUAGAUAUAUGGAGGAACACCAGUGGCGAAGGCGGCUCUCUGGUCUGUAACUGACGCUGAGGCUCGAAAGCGUGGGGAGCAAACAGGAUUAGAUACCCUGGUAGUCCACGCCGUAAACGAUGAGUGCUAAGUGUUGGAGGGUUCCGCCCUUCAGUGCUGCAGCAAACGCAUUAAGCACUCCGCCUGGGGAGUACGACCGCAAGGUUGAAACUCAAAGGAAUUGACGGGGGCCCGCACAAGCGGUGGAGCAUGUGGUUUAAUUCGAAGCAACGCGAAGAACCUUACCAGGUCUUGACAUCCUUUGACCACUCUAGAGAUAGAGCUUUCCCUUCGGGGACAAAGUGACAGGUGGUGCAUGGUUGUCGUCAGCUCGUGUCGUGAGAUGUUGGGUUAAGUCCCGCAACGAGCGCAACCCUUAUUGUUAGUUGCCAUCAUUUAGUUGGGCACUCUAGCGAGACUGCCGGUGACAAACCGGAGGAAGGUGGGGAUGACGUCAAAUCAUCAUGCCCCUUAUGACCUGGGCUACACACGUGCUACAAUGGGAAGUACAACGAGUCGCUAGACCGCGAGGUCAUGCAAAUCUCUUAAAGCUUCUCUCAGUUCGGAUUGCAGGCUGCAACUCGCCUGCAUGAAGCCGGAAUCGCUAGUAAUCGCGGAUCAGCACGCCGCGGUGAAUACGUUCCCGGGCCUUGUACACACCGCCCGUCACACCACGAGAGUUUGUAACACCCGAAGUCGGUGAGGUAACCUUUUUGGAGCCAGCCGCCUAAGGUGGGAUAGAUGAUUGGGGGAAGUCGAAUACAAGAAAUUGGGCG
rnacentral:rRNA from 1 species